GUUUGAUCUAUGAUUGACUAUUAUGAUUGCUCAGGCUUAGCAUGAUUUUUAUAUAUGCUAUAACCAGCAUGACUAUAAGUCACAUUAUUGCUAUUUGUUGAGAUCCAUAUAGAUUUGAAUCAUUCUGGGCCUUUGAGAGCUCCGAUUACCAUUAUGGAAAGAACAAAACUCGAUCUUGAUCCGAUUCUGAGCUUGCUUGGUUCAAAACAUGGAAUCUGAACCAAUUUGCCCUUUAAUCUCCUCUACCAUGGAUCGACAAUCUUUCCUCGCAUAUUUUAAUGCCCGUCUAUUCUACCUUCUACCCAUAUUGACUAUGAUCCAAUGCAAUGAUAUCUCAAUGGUGUGGCUAGUAAUAUAUCCACAAACAUAACCAAUACUCUAGCUUCCAAUGACUAGUCAUAAUUCACACACAAUCUUCCCUAAUCCUAACCAAACCAUCAUCAUUC
rnacentral:lncRNA from 1 species